rnacentral:rRNA from 1 species
UACAGAGGUGCCAAGCGUUAGGCGGAAUCACUGGGCUUAAAGCGCGUGUAGGCGGACGGGUAAGUAUCUUGUGAAAUCCCACGGCUCAACCGUGGAACUGCUGGAUAUACUGCUUGUCUUGAGGCACUUAGGGGCAGCUGGAACAAAUGGUGGAGCGGUGAAAUGCGUAGAUAUCGGAAGGAACAUCAGUGUCGAAAGCGGCUUCCUGGACCAGUACCGACGUUCAGGCACGAAAGCGUGGGGAGCAAACAGG